rnacentral:rRNA from 1 species
GACAGAGGGUGCAAACGUUGUUCGGAAUUACUGGGCGUAAAGCGCGUGUAGGCGGCCAGGUAAGUCCGUUCUGAAAGCCCGGGGCUCAACCCCGGGAGGCGGGAUGGAUACUGCUUGGCUCGAGUCCGGAAGAGGCGAGUGGAAUUCCCGGUGUAGCGGUGAAAUGCGCAGAGUAUCGGGAGGAACACCAAUGGCGAAGGCAGCUCGCUGGGACGGUACUGACGCUGAGACGCGAAAGCGUGGGAGCAAACAGG